AAAUUGAUGAGAGUAUUUUUCAUAGAUUCAUCAUCAUUCAAAGAUGUUAAGAAAAUAUUUUUGCAUUUUUUGAAUAUUGGAAACUAUUUAAAAUGAAUUAAAAAUAAACAGAAAAGAAAAGUUCACAAAAAAUAUUAAAUGAACUCAUAAAAAAUAUUAAAAAUCAUUUUCAGAAACUAGAAUUAAAAAGGUAAAUAAGGCAAUUGGUCCCAUAUUUUUUGGAUUUAAAAUGAAGAAGAUAUGAAUUUUUGAAAUAAAAGGAAA
rnacentral:lncRNA from 1 species